AUUGAACGCUGGCGGCAUGCUUUACACAUGCAAGUCGAACGGUAACAGGCCGCAAGGUGCUGACGAGUGGCGAACGGGUGAGUCCUGCAUCGGAACGUGCCCAGCCGUGGCGGAUAACUACUCGAAAGAGUAUCUCAUACCGCAUCAGAUCCCUGGACGACCACGGGGGUGCGUAAGGCCACGCGCGAUUUGAGCGGCCGAUGCCUGAAUCGGUACCGGGUGGGGCAAAGGCUCACCAAGCGAAGGAUCUGUAGCUGGUCCGAGAGGACGACCAGCCACACUGGGACGGAGACACGGACCAGACUCCUGCGGGAGGGAGCAGUGGGGAAUAUUGGACAAGGGGCGCAAGCCUGAUCCAGCAAUGGCGCGGGCAGGAAGAAGGCGUUCGGGUUGUGAACUGCGUUUGUACGGAACGAAACGGCUCUGGUUAAUACCCGGGGCUAAUGGCGGUACCGGAAGAAUAAGCACCGGCGAACUACGUG
rnacentral:rRNA from 1 species